UAUCUUUGAUUCUUCGGAUGAAGAGAUUUGUGACUGAGUGGCGGACGGGUGAGUAACGCGUGGGUAACCUGCCUCAUACAGGGGGAUAACAGUUAGAAAUGACUACUAAUACCGCAUAAGACCACGGAGCCGCAUGGCUCAGUGGGAAAGACUCCGGUGGUAUGAGAUGGACCCGCGUCUGAUUAGGUAGUUGGUGGGGUAACGGCCUACCAAGCCAACGAUCAGUAGCCGACCUGAGAGGGUGACCGGCCACAUUGGGACUGAGACACGGCCCAAACUCCUACGGGAGGCAGCAGUGGGGAAUAUUGCACAAUGGGGGAAACCCUGAUGCAGCGACGCCGCGUGAGCGAAGAAGUAUUUCGGUAUGUAAAGCUCUAUCAGCAGGGAAGAAAAUGACGGUACCUGACUAAGAAGCACCGGCUAAAUACGUGCCAGCAGCCGCGGUAAUACGUAGGGGGCAAGCGUUAUCCGGAUUUACUGGGUGUAAAGGGAGCGUAGACGGCUGUGUAAGUCUGAAGUGAAAGCCCGGGGCUCAACCCCGGGACUGCUUUGGAAACUAUGCAGCUAGAGUGUCGGAGAGGUAAGUGGAAUUCCCAGUGUAGCGGUGAAAUGCGUAGAUAUUGGGAGGAGCACCAGUGGCGAAGGCGGCUUACUGGACGAUGACUGAC
rnacentral:rRNA from 1 species